rnacentral:lncRNA from 1 species
GCGGGUCGAGGGUUGGUAGCGUUUCUUUAUUGUCUGUUGCCUGGUAUAUCAGAUACUGUGACUGCUAUGCGGAGGUCAAUAUAUACUAUUGGACUGCUGGUAAACAGUUGUCUCACUAAUCGAUUAAUAUUCAGCUCAACUGCCGCCGUGGUCUUGUUUGUAUAGGUAACGAUAGCAGAAAGGGGGUGGGGUGGGUAGCCUAACUAGCUGUAUAAAUGGCGGUUUGGCGUUUCAAUAAAUACAAAGUCGUAUCUCGAACUUAAUAUGUGUAAUUUAAUAAGUUAG